UAAGAAUAUUCCGCAAUGGGGGGAACCCUGACGGAGCGACGCCGCGUGGACGAUGAAGGUCGGAAGAUUGUAAAGUCCUUUUAUACAUGAAGAAGAGGCUAAGAAGGAAAUGGAAUAGCGGUGACUGUAGUGUAUGAAUAAGCACCGGCUAAUUACGUGCCAGCAGCCGCGGUAAU
rnacentral:rRNA from 1 species